rnacentral:rRNA from 1 species
AUUGAACGCUGGCGGCAGGCCUAACACAUGCAAGUCGAACGAGUGGCGGACGGGUGAGUAAUGUCUGGGAAAAUGCCUGAUGGAGGGGGAUAACUACUGGAAACGGUAGCUAAUACCGCAUACCAUCAGAUGUGCCCAUAUGGGAUUAGCUUGUUGGUGGGGUAACGGCUCACCAAGGCGACGAUCCCUCGCUGGUCUGAGAGGAGGACCAGCCACAUGGGAACUGAGACACGGUCCAGAUUCUCCUGGGAGGCGGCAGUGGGGAAUAUUGCUCAAGGUGCGCAAUCGUGAUACAGCCAUGCCGCGUGUAUGAAGAAGGCCUUCGGGUUGUAAAGUACUUUCAGCGGGGAGGCGUUACCCGCAGAAGAAGCACCGGCUAACUCCGUGCCAGCAGCCGCGGUAAUUC